rfam:Paenibacillus stellifer strain DSM 14472, complete genome.
AAAUGGUGAUCAGGACAAAGCCUAGCCAGCAGUCCUGUACCGAGUCUUGCGUGGUGCAUGGUAACAUGUACGGCGAAGCGUAGACAGGGAGACAGUAGGCCGGAAUCAAGUGAAGAGGAUGAUUAGCCCCGAAAUCAAACGUGGUUGAAGCAGCCGAUCCUAUUUCUCUGUGGAGAAGGCAGAAGCGGCAUCAUCGAAAGGGCAAGAGGAUGACCGAGGCUUCCGGGGUUCGUACC